rnacentral:sRNA from 1 species
UCCAACGGUAUUGCCUACUGAACGCGC